rnacentral:rRNA from 1 species
CAGGCCUAACACAUGCAAGUCGAGCGGUAGCGGUAAAGAUUUCGGUCUUUAGCCGACGAGCGGCGGACGGGUGAGUAAUGCUUAGGAAUCUGCCUAUUAGUGGGGGACAACAUUCCGAAAGGAAUGCUAAUACCGCAUACGCCCUACGGGGGAAAGCAGGGGAUCUUCGGACCUUGCGCUAAUAGAUGAGCCUAAGUCAGAUUAGCUAGUUGAUGGGGUAAAGGCCUACCAAGGCGACGAUCUGUAGCGGGUCUGAGAGGAUGAUCCGCCACACUGGGACUGAGACACGGCCCAGACUCCUACGGGAGGCAGCAGUGGGGAAUAUUGGACAAUGGGCGCAAGCCUGAUCCAGCCAUGCCGCGUGUGUGAAGAAGGCCUUUUGGUUGUAAAGCACUUUAAGCGAGGAGGAGGCUACUUGGAUUAAUACUCUAGGAUAGUGGACGUUACUCGCAGAAUAAGCACCGGCUAACUCUGUGCCAGCAGCCGCGGUAAU